rnacentral:rRNA from 1 species
CGUAGGGUGCAAGCGUUAAUCGGAAUUACUGGGCGUAAAGCGUGCGCAGGCGGUUUUGUAAGUCAGAUGUGAAAUCCCCGAGCUCAACUUGGGAACUGCGUUUGAAACUACAAGACUAGAAUAUGUCAGAGGGGGUAGAAUUCCACGUGUAGCAGUGAAAUGCGUAGAGAUGUGGAGGAAUACCAAUGGCGAAGGCAGCCCCCUGGGAUAAUAUUGACGCUCAUGCACGAAAGCGUGGGGAGCAAACAGGAUUAGAUACCCUGGUAGUCCACGCCCUAAACGAUGUCUACUAGUUGUUGGUGGAGUAAAAUCCAUGAGUAACGCAGCUAACGCGUGAAGUAGACCGCCUGGGGAGUACGGUCGCAAGAUUA